rnacentral:rRNA from 1 species
UAAACUCCUGUCAUUGGUGAACAAGGCGGCCCGUUAACUGCGGAGCCGCUCGAUAGUAGCCGAAGAGGAAGAGACGGCUAACUCUGUGC